rnacentral:rRNA from 1 species
UACGGAGGAGGCAAGCGUUAUCCGGACUUAUUGGGCGUAAAGCGUCCGUAGGUGGUUGGCCAAGUCUGCUGUCAAAGGGUGGGGCUUAACCUCAUAAAGGCAGUGGAAACUGGCGAGCUAGAGUGCGGUAGGGGUAGGGGGAAUUCCCAGUGUAGCGGUGAAAUGCGUAGAGAGUGGGAAGAACAUCGGUGGCGAAAGCGCCCUGCUGGGCCUGCACUGACACUGAGGGACGAAAGCUAGGGGAGCGAAUGGG